rnacentral:rRNA from 1 species
UACAGAGGUCUCAAGCGUUGUUCGGAUUCAUUGGGCGUAAAGGGUGUGUAGGUGGCGCCGUAAGUCGGGUGUGAAAUUUCGGAGCUUAACUCCGAAACUGCAUUCGAUACUGCGGUGCUUGAGACUGGAGAGGAGACUGGAAUUCAUGGUGUAGCAGUGAAAUGCGUAGAGAUCAUGAGGAAGACCAGUGGCGAAGGCGGGUCUCUG